AGCUUAAACAAAUAGGGUCUAUGUUGGAAAGUGAGAAUCUACCAUUCUGCUUAUGGACUCCACCAGGUAACAUAUCUUUGUAAUAGAGAUAUGUUCUGUCAAUCUUUGCAUAUAUAAGUUUUAUGAGAUGUGCAACGAUUUAGCUUAUCAUGUGUUUUCUUUUCUUAUUAUUAGGAGCGGGAGAGAGAUGGCGCGAUUGGCGAACGGAGGAUGUAGAUGCAGAGGUUUGUCGCAUGUCUGUAAAUUGUACAUGAAAGGUGGUAGAUUUUGAUUGGAAUUUUGUAGGGCGUAGCAUAUCAGGUGUUCGUAUCCAAUCUAAUUUGCUUUCUGUGUGAAGUGGAAAACAUCAAAGAAAUUGUAAAAAACAGAGAAUUAUUUUUUUUAUGUAAAUGAGCAUUCUCGUUGAACUUUAACCCCAUUUGUUGUUAAUGAGGAUGGGGCGCUAUUGGG
rnacentral:lncRNA from 1 species